rnacentral:rRNA from 1 species
UACGUAGGUGGCAAGCGUUAUCCGGAAUUAUUGGGCGUAAAGAGCGCGCAGGUGGUUGAUUAAGUCUGAUGUGAAAGACCACGGCUUAACCGUGGAGGGUCAUUGGAAACUGGUCGGCUUGAGUGCAGAAGAGGGAAGUGGAAUUCCAUGUGUAGCGGUGAAAUGCGUAGAGAUAUGGAGGAACACCGGUGGCGAAGGCGGCUUUCUGGUCUGCACCUGACGCUGAGAGGCGAAAGCUAGGGUAGCGAACGGGCUUAGAUACCCGGGUAGGU